rnacentral:rRNA from 1 species
UACGUAGGGUGCAAGCGUUGUCCGGAAUUAUUGGGCGUAAAGAGCUCGUAGGCGGUUUGUCGCGUCGAAUGUGAAAACCCAGGGCUCAACCCUGGGCCUGCAUUCGAUACGGGCAGACUAGAGUUCGGUAGGGGAGACUGGAAUUCCUGGUGUAGCGGUGAAAUGCGCAGAUAUCAGGAGGAACACCGGUGGCGAAGGCGGGUCUCUGGGCCGAAACUGACGCUGAGGAGCGAAAGCGUGGGGAGCAAACAGG